AGGACGAACGCUGGCGGCGCGCCUAACACAUGCAAGUCGAGCGAUAACCAGGGCUUGCCCUGGGGACAGCGGCGAACGGGUGCGUAACACGUGAGCAACCUGCCCCCAAAGACCGGGACAACCCGAGGAAACUCGGACUAAUACCGGAUGCCCUCACCGGGUCGCAUGGUCUGGUGAGGAAAUGGAUUCCGCUUUGGGAUGGGCUCGCGGUCUAUCAGCUUGUUGGUGGGGUAACGGCCUACCAAGGCGACGACGGAUAGCUGGUCUGAGAGGACGAUCAGCCACACUGGGACUGAGACACGGCCCAGACUCCUACGGGAGGCAGCAGUGGGGAAUCUUGCGCAAUGGGGGAAACCCUGACGCAGCGACGCCGCGUGCGGGAUGAAGGCCUUCGGGUUGUAAACCGCUUUCAGCAGGGACGAAAUUGACGGUACCUGCAGAAGAAGGCCCGGCCAACUACGUGCCAGCAGCCGC
rnacentral:rRNA from 1 species